AUGUGUUUUUGACUGUUCCCUUAAUGUUAAUAGUCAUCCGAACUUGAUUUUUUAUAUUUUGUUUCCUGAUCCAAAGAGAAGAAAAUCGUGGCUUUAUGCUUUAUAUAGAACUGAUUCAUCUUGCUAAAACAAACUUAGGUCGCAAAACAUGUCUAAGUAUGCUCAAAACAUUUUGUAUCUGAAUAUUAUGUACAAAAAAGUCAUUGCAAUAAAUCUCAAGUUAUUAAAGUCAGUUAACAAAUAAGUACUGACAAUUCAUUGACUGGAGUGGAAGAUGUUAGUGUCUUGAACCAACAUGAAACAACAAGUUAACUUAGCUGAGAAUGAUGGUAGUUUAAAAAUAAUGCAGCAUUGGCUAGGAUUGUUCCUAGGUCACAAAAACAAUCUUACAAAUAGAGUUUCUGCUGUUUUCACUGGUUUUAGAGUGUACCUUUGUGAAUGAAGAUAAAAAGUCAUUUAUGUUAUUUUUUCAAAGCCAAGACAUAAUAUUGUUAAUCCUCAUACCAUUUACCAAAAAGCUUUAUAAAUAUUGUUACGAUGUUAUAAUUCAAAUUGUUGUAAUUAGUACUUUUGAUCAUUUCAUUAUUAUACUUUAAAAAAUAUUUUUUAUUUAUAACAUUUAUUUCACAUAUAUUAAAAACAUGAGGAAUAAAUAUUACACUGAGGAAAAUUUUAAGCAAAAUAUAGAAUUUUUAAAUGUUAUUAGAAUAUCAAUAUGUAAUA
rnacentral:lncRNA from 1 species